rnacentral:rRNA from 1 species
GAUGAACGCUGGCGGCGUGCCUAAUACAUGCAAGUCGAGCGAAUGGAUUAAGAGCUUGCUCUUAUGAAGUUAGCGGCGGACGGGUGAGUAACACGUGGGUAACCUGCCCAUAAGACUGGGAUAACUCCGGGAAACCGGGGCUAAUACCGGAUAACAUUUUGAACCGCAUGGUUCGAAAUUGAAAGGCGGCUUCGGCUGUCACUUAUGGAUGGACCCGCGUCGCAUUAGCUGGUUGGUGAGGUAACGGCUCACCAAGGCAACGAUGCGUAGCCGACCUGAGAGGGUGAGCGGCCACACUGGGACUGAGACACGGCCCAGACUCCUACGGGAGGCUGCAGUGGGGAAUCUUGCGCAAUGAGCGACAGCUUGACGCAGCAACGCCGCGUGAGGGAAGAAGGCUUUCGGGUCGUAAACCUCUUUCAGUUAGGACGAAGCUUUAUUGGUUAAUAACCAAUUGGAGUGACGGUACUUUCAGAAGAAGCCCCGGCUAACUACGUGCCAGCCGCCGCGGUAA